CGAUGAACAACUUAUCAAUUUGGUGUGGCCUUACUUGUAGAAUGAAGAGAUACCAAGUGGUAACUUUGAAGAGUCAGUGCAUUCUGACGCAGGUCGGGCUGAUGACAUUCCAAAAGUUUUGCUCUCACCCAGCACAACAGAUGAGCCGUGUUUCAGUUUGGAGAACACAAAGAUCUGUUUCACAAGACAUGGAAUAUUGAUCAUAGAUAGUGGAGAUAAUACAAAGACAACACUUCUUCAUGCUGCUGCUGGCUUUGGUGAUAUAGAAUCUGUAAGAUACCUUCUAGAGCAAGAUGUAGAUGUUAAUAUUACA
rnacentral:lncRNA from 1 species